UUACGGCCAUAUCACCUUCAAACAUCGGUUCCAGUACGAUCACCGAAGUUAAGCAACGUCGAGUCUGGUCAGUAGCUAUAUGGGUGACCACCUGGGAAUACCAGAUGCUGUAAG